AACGAACGCUGGCGGCAUGCCUAACACAUGCAAGUCGAACGGGAUCCUGGUUUCGGCCAGGUGAGAGUGGCGGACGGGUGAGUAACGCGUGGGAACCUGCCCAGUGGUGGGGGAUAACUGCGGGAAACUGCAGCUAAUACCGCAUGAGCCCGCAAGGGGAAAGAUUGAUCGCCAUUGGAGGGGCCCGCGUUCGAUUAGGUAGUUGGUGAGGUAACGGCUCACCAAGCCUACGAUCGAUAGCUGGUCUGAGAGGAUGAUCAGCCACACUGGGACUGAGAUACGGCCCAGACUCCUACGGGAGGCAGCAGUGGGGAAUAUUGGACAAUGGGGGCAACCCUGAUCCAGCAAUGCCGCGUGAGUGAUGAAGGCCUUCGGUU
rnacentral:rRNA from 1 species